rnacentral:rRNA from 1 species
AGUGGCGAACGGGUGAGUAACACGUGGGCAAUCUGCCCUGUACUUUGGGAUAAGCCUGGGAAACUGGGUCUAAUACCGGAUAUCACCUUCCCUCGCAUGGGGGUUGGUUGAAAGUUCUGGCGGUACAGGAUGAGCCCGCGGCCUAUCAGCUUGUUGGUGGGGUAAUGGCCUACCAAGGCGACGACGGGUAGCCGGCCUGAGAGGGUGACCGGCCACACUGGGACUGAGACACGGCCCAGACUCCUACGGGAGGCAGCAGUGGGGAAUAUUGCACAAUGGGCGAAAGCCUGAUGCAGCGACGCCGCGUGAGGGAUGACGGCCUUCGGGUUGUAAACCUCUUUCGCCAGGGACGAAGCGCAAGUGACGGUACCUGGAUAAGAAGCACCGGCUAACUACGUGCCAGCAGCCGCGGUAAUACGUAGGGUGCGAGCGUUGUCCGGAAUUAUUGGGCGUAAAGAGCUCGUAGGCGGUUUGUCGCGUCGUUCGUG